rnacentral:rRNA from 1 species
CGUCGAGUGGCGGACGGGUGAGUAAUACUUAGGAAUCUGCCCAUUAGUGGGGGACAACUCGGGGAAACUCGAGCUAAUACCGCAUACGCCCUACGGGGGAAAGCGGAGGACCUUUCGGGGCUUCGCGCUAAUGGAUGAGCCUAAGUCGGAUUAGCUUGUUGGUGAGGUAAAGGCUCACCAAGGCGACGAUCCGUAGCUGGUCUGAGAGGACGAUCAGCCACACUGGGACUGAGGCACGGCCCAG